GGGCCGUUAGCUCAGUUGGCUAGAGCACUUGACUUUUAAUCAAGGGGUCCCGGGUUCGACCCCCGGACGGCCUA
rnacentral:tRNA from 1 species